rnacentral:lncRNA from 1 species
AGUUACCUUGACAAUCGGACGGAAGGCCGCAGGCAAAGCAAGAAGCUGUGGCCAUUCAUCCGCAAAAACAAGCUGCUGACUCUCCUGUCCUCACCUCGUCAGCCACCCCCUCCACCCCCCACAUCACCUUCUCCUGGGAGGUUUGGCCAACAGUCCCCAAGUCCCCACCCCUUGCCUCCAAAGAACCGAUCACACAACGCUUGAACGACCUCAUGACUCUAGCUCAAGAACCAGAAGCAGUGUCUUCGCAGCCUGAAGAGAGGGGGGUAUAGUAUAGACAUACACCUGCAACACAGUCUGGAGAAUAGUUUCUGAAGCAGGACCAGUGAGUGCAUGAAAUCCACUCAACUGGAUCAGGCAAGAGCAUAUGAGCUUUGUACAAACAAGCUCACAUGGUCAUUGGUUCUCAUAUUUACUGUAAACACACAUAGCCACGUGUGACCAUGACAUACUGUACAUUAACUUUUUUUUGAUGUGGUGUCUUCUACAUGCUUCUUUUCUGUUUGACAGCUUUCACUCAAGCUGGGAUCUGGUCCUGCAGACUGCAGUCACCUCCCCCCUGAACAGAGAUGCAAAAAAACUUCAAACCAGAAUCAACAGCAAUCAACGAAGAGAUUCAGAGAGAAACGGGAACAGCGGUAGAGCAUUCAACCACAUUAACCUGCAUGUUACAUUCACAGAUCAAGCAUGUGUUUUCAUGCACAAAUCUACACCAUACAUUAGACAGUGUUACACUUAAUCUACUGUAUAUGCUAAUAUGUAUGCGUUACCUGCUGCUGACACAGGGAAUCCACACUUUAUACACUGAUAAGACAAAUAAUAA